ensembl:lincRNA
GCAGGUAACAGUUUAUUCAUUUUACUUUUCAUUUAUUCACUUAUUUUUAAUGCAUUAACCUGAUGAGGGUUUGGUUGAGGUUAGGAACCUAGCAGUUAAGACUUUUUUGGCGAGGGUCUGGGGGGUGGGUACCAGGGGAUCAAACUCAGGAUCUUGCCCUUGCUUGCAAGGCAGGCGCUGGGCCAUUGAGCUAAAUCCCUGGCCCUGGCCCUCUUUUUUGUGUGUGUUGCAGAGCAGCUGUAGGGAGCAGGGAUCCAAAUUGAGUCUUGAAAAAUGCCCAAAGCAGAGAGACCUGAGGGUCAAACAGGGCCUCUUUCGCAAGGAAGUCGGACCAUGGGAACUUUCAGUCAAAACUGCAAAGCAGCAGACAUGAACUGAGCCUUGUUUUGGGGCACAGUGUUCCUUCGAGGGAAAUUAUGGCAACUCAAAGACGAAAGUACUCAGGGAGCAACGUCCACGGACCACUGCACUGCAGGAACCACCAAAUGUGUGAAGGGAAAGGUCAGAACAAGAAGUGGGUGGGGCAGUCUCUAUUACAAGGUGACUGGCUGGUCACUUAUUUAUUUUGAGACAGUCCAGCUCCGUGAUCCAGGCCGGCCUUGAACUCACUAUGCAGCCUAAGCUGGCCUCGAACUCACAUUGACCCCCUUGCCUCAACCUCCCCAGUGAUCUUGGUGUCUUAAUUAAAACAAAUCUAUUUUUGAAUACCGAGGCCCUGCAGUCACUUAGAGCAGAAAAAAUGUGGUCUGCGGGGUUAGGUCGUAAAAUAACUACGGGAACACAGGCAGACGAAUCUCUCUGCACUACAGGGCGAUUACGAAACCAGCAGCUGUUCCUCUCCGAAUUCCGAGACGCCAGGCUUUGUCACACACCAAGCGAACGCUUCGAAAACAGAACGCGUCGCCAGGACAGUGAAAUCUGCACCUCGCUAGCACCGCGAAUGUUUCGGGCGCUGCUGAGACGCCAGAGACGGGGUCUGGCGGGGUCGAGCUCGUUUCUCCCUCCUCGGCGGCGCCGCCGAGAGAGCUCGGGCCUCAGGGAGUGGGCCCCGGGGAAGCAGCAGGGGAGGCUGUCAGUCGGCAGAACGCGAGGCCGGCGACNNNNNNNNNNNNNNNNNNNNNNNNNNNNNNNNNNNNNNNNNNNNNNNNNNNNNNNNNNNNNNNNNNNNNNNNNNNNNNNNNNNNNNNNNNNNNCGCGCUCCUCCCGCCUCGGGGACACCCGCCGCCGGGCGAGGAGGGUGAGCCGACAACUUCCCGCUUCCGGGAGCGCGACCCGGAAACAAUUUCCGCCACAAACGACGCUCUGCGUCUGUCCGCCCCGCGCCUGGGAGGACGACGGAACGUGGACGUCACUGCGCGGGAUAAGGAGUGCUGGGGAGCACAUUGAAGCCUCCUCUGUCUACAGUGCCAAAACUGUGAACUGUUUUCCCCAAGUGAUCUGCACGCCUGUAAUCCCAUAAGCCUCGGAGGCUGAGGCAGGAAGAUCCAACUUUGAGAACAGCCUGGGGAAUUUAGCGACUUAGCCAGGUGGGCUCUGUCUCAAAAUAAAAAUAAAAACAGGGUUGAGGAUGUCGCUCUGGCCCGGGGUUUAAUCCCUACUAGCCCCAGUACCAAAGGAAAAGAAAAGACAAAAAGGGUCAAUAUUGUUGCCAUGCAAAUAACUGCUGAGCACUUUUUAGGGUCACAACUGAGAUGAUUGGUGAGAAAAUGGUUGCACUGAGUUGAAAGCCAGCUCCCCCACCCACCUGACAGAAUGCACGGGCGACAAGAGACAGCCGCCGAAGGAUUCUGACUUACGUUCAUACACACGUGUUCUCACUCUAACAUCAGUAUAAUAGCGCACUAGAUACACAUAUGUACACCUGUCCCCUUAAUCAUUAAGUGAGCUGCCUUCCUAGUAAGCCUGCCCCUUUCACUUACUCAUUGCAGAGAAACUAGAAGAAACCAAACGGUCAGAAGGCCUCCGUUAAGGUCAAAGACAGUCAAAGAAACAGAUCAGAUAGUGACCAGCACCCACCUGGGGAUAGGAAAGACGCUCGUCCCCAAUAAAUAAUAGUCCCCAAUAAGAGCUCCUGGGCUUUCCGCUCCGAAGACCCCUAAUAUUCUAGACAGCUGAGUUAGGUAGAAAUAUUGUAGGCAGAUAGGACUGGGCCCCGAGAGAGUCAGUGCAAAAGAUGAAGACACAUUACAACAGUGGCCAGAGGCGCGCCGGUUGGAGACCAGGCCUCAAGACAAAGAGAAAUGACCGGGCCUGCAAGCCUCCCCAAGGGAUGAGGUAAGGGGUGACACCUGGUCUAAUAAAGUCUAGACAGACAUCAGUCACCCGGCAGGUGUGACCAAGACCUCCAGACCCAUCCCUUCCCAAAAAGUUUCUUUUUCUUUCCAUGUGCAGUUGCUACAUGACCGGCUCCCCCACUGGAUCAUUAUUACCUAUGAGACUAUUCUUGUCACCUUAACAGGUGGGUCAUAGCUUUAACCUGCAUUGUGCCCAUGGGGUUGUGCUCUGUUUUGUGCAACAGGGGACCGGCAACCCAUUCAGGACCCUCCCACCUCUCGGGAGCUAUCCUCUGGAGAAAUAUUCCCUACCUUAACCUCUGUUUUUCCUUACAAUUCAUUCUUUGAUUUUUGGGGAACAUGAACACGGAAUAUCUGACAUCCGGCAGGUUGGGAGUCAUAAUAUUUCUCCUGUUAUCAUUUGGAGGCCUGAUAUCAUUCCUAUGUCACUAUUACUCAUGGUGGCUAUUUAUCCUUUUUCUUUUCCAUCUUUUCCCGCAAAUAAGACAGCUUUGGUUUGCCCCUUUUUAGUUCUUUACUGGCGCCGAGUUUAGGAUCACCAGAAGCUGCGCGUUCAGCAGAGCCGUGGUGUGUUGUGAUGUGGUGAGGUGAGCUGUCCACCUCUGGACAUAACACCUGCCUCGAAAUAAGGAAGGGCUGGGGAUGCAGCUCAGUGGUCGAGCACUUCCUUGACAUGUGCAAGGCUCUGGGCUCGGUCACAAGUGCCACUAAAUUAAAAAAAAAAAAAAGUCAAGUAGAGCAAUGAACAGAGAGCCUGAACACAGAAAGUAUCACAGAAGAGGGCAUCUGACUGACAAACACACACAUGGAAAAGCAUUCAACUUCGUGCAUCAUGAUUUGUAAGUGAAGGAUUGCUGCGUUAUCAUUACGCCGGCUUCAGAAUUCCUGAAGUGGGAAAGCUUGGCAAUGCCACGCCGGGGUGGACGUUCCCUAUGACUGGUGAUUCUCCUUCUGGGCAGACACCCAGGGGCCAUGUGAUGUUCACAGCAGCCUUAUUUGUUAGAAAUAUCACAGGAUCAAUGAGAGGAUAUGUAAAUGUACCACAGUGUAGGGCAUCAGAGACAAGUCGGAACAGUACCCCAAAAGGAGGGGGACUCGACUCACUCUGGGUGGGUUCUUGAUUUGUUGUUACAGAAAAGCCUUCUGGGAUGCUCAUGAGAGGCUCAGGCAGCUUAUCAGGCAGAACACAAAAAAGUGCACCCUCAAAGGGAAACAGCGUAGACGCUCGGUGGUGAAGUGUGCUGUGGUCUGGGGUUGGGUGUGUCCUCAAGACAGAGGUCUGGGACAGAGGUCUGGGGUGUUUAUCUUUUGAGUUAUUUAUUGCUUACCUAGUGUCAGAGUAUCCACUAGUAGGCUCAGGCAAAAUUUAACUUUAUCGAUUAGGUUAAAAUACAAACCGUAUUGCUGCCUGCCUUGCAAGAGCAAUGUCCUGUGUUUCAUCCCCGGUACCAAAAAAACAAAAACAAAACAAAACCUAUAAGCUGGGCAUGGUGGCGCACACCUGUAAUCCCAGCACUCGGAAGGCUGAGG